ACGAACGCUGGCGGCUUGCCUAAUACCUGCAAGUAGAACGCUGAAGAGAGGAGCUUGCUCUUCUUGGAUGAGUUGCGAACGGGUGAGUAACGCGUAGGUAACCUGCCUUGUAGCGGGGGAUAACUAUUGGAAACGAUAGCUAAUACCGCAUAACAAUGGAUGACACAUGUCAUUUAUUUGAAAGGGGCAAUUGCUCCACUACAAGAUGGACCUGCGUUGUAUUAGCUAGUAGGUGAGGUAAUGGCUCACCUAGGCGACGAUACAUAGCCGACCUGAGAGGGUGAUCGGCCACACUGGGACUGAGACACGGCCCAGACUCCUACGGGAGGCAGCAGUAGGGAAUCUUCGGCAAUGGGGGCAACCCUGACCGAGCAACGCCGCGUGAGUGAAGAAGGUUUUCGGAUCGUAAAGCUCUGUUGUAAGUCAAGAACGGGUGCGAGAGUGGAAAGUUCACACUGUGACGGUAGCUUACCAGAAAGGGACGGCUAACUACGUG
rnacentral:rRNA from 1 species